UACAGAGGUCCCAAGCGUUGUUCGGAUUCAUUGGACGUAAAGGGUGCGUAGGCGGCGCGGUAAGUCGGGUGUGAAAUCUUGGAGCUUAACUCCGAAACUGCAUUCGAUACUGCCGUGCUUGAGGACUGGAGAGGAGACUGGAAUUUACGGUGUAGCGGUGAAAUGCGUAGAUAUCGUAAGGAAGACCAGUGGCGAAGGCGGGUCUCUGGACAGUUCCUGACGCUGAGGCACGAAGGCCAGGGGAGCAAACGGG
rnacentral:rRNA from 1 species